rnacentral:lncRNA from 1 species
GUGUGUGUGUGUGUGUGUGUGUGUGUGUGUCCCAUUCUAUGAUUUUCUCACUGAACCUGCAGUCAGGCUGGCAUCCAGCAAGCCUGAUUCAUCCUUCUGUCUCCACCUUCUACUCUCCACCACAGAGCUGUUCAUACAGCAAGAAAGCAUUUGGACACUCGACUUUUUAUAUGAGGGCAGAUGUCUGAACUAAGUUCCUCUUACGUGCAUAGCAAGGACUCCUAACCAAUGAGUCACCUCUCCAGCCAGCUAAGUGAUGCUAAACUGACUGUGGGGAGACAUCUGAAGAGAAGCUGAACUAACCCACGGCCCUUGCUUUCCUGAAUGAUCUCACAAGGCAAAAGGGCUGUUGUCAGUUGGCACUGAAGAAUCGUUUACUAAGCCUCUGAAAUUUUGAGUGUUUUUCAAAGCAGAUAAUCCGCUUUAAUUGAUCUGGCUCGUGCUAUGGCUAUAGCAAAACUCUGAAAUAGAAAACCAUGUUUUAAAAUUUGAGUGGCAGAGUGCAUUGGGAGUGGAUUUUGGAGAAUGGAGAUAGGAAAUUUGUAUGAUGUGCUGAUAAUGCUUGUAAAAUGUACACCAGUGCAUUGUGAAGAGUGCGCAGCUGACAGGG